rnacentral:rRNA from 1 species
ACUCAAAUGAAUUGACGGGGGCCCGCACAAGCAGCGGAGCGUGUGGUUUAAUUCGACGCGACGCGUAGAACCUUACCAGGGUUUGACAUCGCCUCGUCAGCCAGGGAAACCUGGUCCUCCCGCAAGGGACGGGGUGACAGAUGCUGCAUGGCUGUCGUCAGCUCGUGCCGUGAGGUGUUGGGUUAAGUCCCGCAACGAGCGCAACCCUCGGGGCUAGUUACCGUGUCUAGCCCGACUGCCGCGACAAACGCGGAGGAAGGUGGGGAUGAAGUCAAGUCAGCACGGCUCUUACAUCCUGGGCGACACACACGCUACAAUGGACGCGACAACGGGAUGCGAAGUCGCAAGGCGGAGCCAAUCCUAGCAAAGGCGUCCUCAGUUCAGAUCGGCGUCUGCAACCCGACGCCGUGAAGGCGGAGUUGCUAGUAACCGCGGGUCAGCACACCGCGGUGAAUACGUUCCCGGGCCUUGUACACACCGCCCGU